GGCAACGGGUUUUGGUCCCGCUUUUUGGGRGUUUGAAUCCUUCCGUUCCMG
rnacentral:tRNA from 1 species